UGGCGCCGUGGCCGUGCAGGAUCGUGGCGCGGACCUCCCGCGCCCGUGCGGCGACCGCGCGUACCGCGGCGAGGUCCGAUCCGUGCGGGUUGCGCCGC
rnacentral:tRNA from 1 species